UUAUCGCGCGAUCGCCUUGAGUUGAUCAUGGCUCAGAAUCAACGCUGGCGGCGUGCCUCAGACAUGCAAGUCGAACGCGAAAGCUCCCUUCGGGGAGCAAGUAGAGUGGCGCACGGGUGAGUAACACGUAGGUAAUCUACCUUUGGAUGGGGAAUAACAACCGGAAACGGUUGCUAAUACCGCAUAAUGCAGCGGCACCUAAUGGUGACAGUUGUUAAAGCGGGGGAUCGAAAGACCUCGCGUCUGAAGAGGAGCCUGCGGCAGAUUAGCUAGUUGGUAAGGUAACGGCUUACCAAGGCGAUGAUCUGUAGCCGGCCUGAGAGGGCGGUCGGCCACACUGACACUGACAUACGGGUCAGACUCCUACGGGAGGCAGCAGUCGGGAAUUUUGGGCAAUGGGCGAAAGCCUGACCCAGCAACGCCGCGUGAAGGAUGAAAUCCUUCGGGAUGUAAACUUCGCAAGAACGGGAAGAAUAAGUAAGGGUUAAUAUCUCUUACGAUGACGGUACUGUUUGUAAGCUCCGGCUAACUCCGUGCCAGCAGCCGCGGUAAUACGGGGGGAGCAAGCGUUGUUCGGAUUUACUGGGCGUAAAGGGCGCGUAGGCGGCCACCGCAAGUCGACUGUGAAAUCUCCGGGCUUAACCCGGAAAGGUCAGCCGAUACUGCGGGGCUAGAGUGCAGAAGGGGCAACUGGAAUUCUCGGUGUAGCGGUGAAAUGCGUAGAUAUCGAGAGGGACACCUGCGGCGAAAGCGGGUUGCUGGGCUGACACUGACGCUGAAGCGCC
rnacentral:rRNA from 1 species